rnacentral:rRNA from 1 species
UACGUAGGGUGCAAGCGUUGUCCGGAAUUAUUGGGCGUAAAGAGCUCGUAGGCGGUUUGUCGCGUCUGCUGUGAAAACCCGAGGCUCAACCUCGGGCCUGCAGUGGGUACGGGCAGACUAGAGUGCGGUAGGGGAGAUUGGAAUUCCUGGUGUAGCGGUGGAAUGCGCAGAUAUCAGGAGGAACACCGAUGGCGAAGGCAGAUCUCUGGGCCGUAACUGACGCUGAGGAGACGAAAGCGUGGGGAGCGAACAGG